rnacentral:SRP_RNA from 1 species
GCCAGACUUGGUGGUGAGCACCUGUAGUCCCAACUAUACAAGAGGCUGAGGUAGGAGGAUCACUUGAGGCCAGGAGUUCUGUACAUAACCAUGUUCACACUAAGUUUAGUAUCAAUAUGCCGAUGUCCUGGGAGAAUAGGACCAUCAGUUUGUACAAGGAGAGAGGUGAACUGACCCAGACCAGAGAUGAAGUAGAUCAAAAUACCCAUGCUGAUCAGUAGUGGGAUCACAGCUGUGAAUAACCACUAUACUCCAGACUGAACAAUAUAGCAAGACCUUGUC